ensembl:lncRNA
AGGUUUCCUGCGGCUCCUCCGCCCAGCGGCGGACGCCUCACGCCUCGCUCCUCGAAGGCUGGGCCUCAGGACUGCCUGAGGCACCAUUGUAGUCCUGUCACCAAGCUCCCGCACUUACGAGGCUGCCCGUCUGGCCUCUCAGCACGCUCCUCCUUUGCACAGCGCAUUUCUAAGAGAAUUGGAUAUAUUGCCUCACUUCACUGCUAUGCAUCUCAAAGUCUGUAAUGAUGUUCAGAUGACUUCAUUACUGAGACCCCUGGCCAAAAAUUAAAACACAGCUACAAUCACUCUCAUCAGAGAUAAGUGUUUCUGACACUCUUGGUCUGAAAAUAUUCUGGACUGAAUUGAUGCCAGACUUAUCAGUUGCAUCAGCUGCAAUCUAAAGGUCCUUUUACAUUAAAUCAUCCUUCCCAGUAAAUUUUUGCUUAGUGAUUUACCUAUUAUUCCUCCUGCUUGAUGUAGUUCAGAACUCAGUGAUUUAAAUAUUAGCCUUCUGACCCCAGUCCAGAAGAAAGUCUUGCAAAAACAUGUAUGUCAGCAGCAUCAUGUCCAUGAGAAUGUUUAUUUACUACUUAUAUAAUUCCUUUAGUCUAAACAAAAUGAUGAUGUCUAGCUUUGCAAUUAUGAGACUCCUGCUUAAAUACUGUCAAAAUUUAAUGUUUUUAUGGUAGAUCAUUUUUUAAAGUGUCUGUUAUGAAUGAAUGUUUGUCAUCACAGAAUUUCAGCAAUUUCUACUUGCAUUUUACCUUAGAGAACAGUUUUCCUAAUUCUUUGCAUAGCAUGUACUACCUGUUUGUUCUUUUCAUGGAAUGGAGAACACUAGCAUGUCAUAAAGAGAUGGCAACAUCCUCUAGGGUCAGAGCAGCAAGGUAAAAAUGUCCCUCAUUUCCCCCCAUUGCAUACAAAAUGAAACCUAAACUCCUUAGCAUGGCAUUCAAGGCCAUACAUAAUUGUCUUCAACCUACCUUUCCACAUCUUCCUUAGCCCACCUGAUGACACAAUCAUUUAUUCAUUCAUUUAACAACAAGUGUCUAUGUGUUUUUUAGGGGCUAUGAUAAAUUAUAAGUGUAUCCCAUUGUAUUUGUUAGACCCAGUACCCAUCAUGGAACUAUUAUCUAGAAGAAAAAAGCAGACAAGUGGAGAGGUAAUUACAAAACCCAUCGUCCUAACCACCAGCCAUCCUGACUAAGAGAUUUAUAGUUCAGGAUGAAUCUGUGCGUGCAAUUGAAUGCUGACUUGAGGAAACUAAGAUUGGUAUAGCUUCACAGUUUCCUUGCCCAAGUCCUGGUCAUUUAUGGGUCAUUCUAGUCACAGAGUUCCUGGGAAUACCUCAACAUCUGGGAGUCUGCCUUGGGAUUUCAGAUCUGCUCUAAAGUGCACUAGUACAGAUCUCAUGGGCCCAAUUCAAAUCAAACUCACUUCAGGGAAGUCUCAGAACCAUCUCCACACCUGAGAUUCCACGUGGAGUCCAGGAUGAUAGUGCCCUCUCAUGCUCCUUAAAUUUAGAAUGAUUUCCUAGAAGCAGAGCCUGAGACAAGACACUCUCAAGCAAGUGGUUUAUUGUGAGACUUUUCUCAAGAGAACCUGUAAGCAGUGAGGGAAGCAGGACAGGGCAGGAGAGAAGCUAUGCAAAGAUGUGGUUUCAGCCAGGGUCUACCCUCAGCCUGAUCCCAUGAAGGGUUCUGUAGAAUGGUACCAGAAGGUUGCCUCACCUUGGAAGCAAGGGAGCUAGGCUGUUGUACUUCUCGAAUCAGAUAGUUAUUGACUAUGGACCAAUCCCAGGGAAAGGAUGUAACUUCCCAGGUAUUUCUAGACAAGCUGUCACCUGUGGCUGAGGUGAAUUACCUGAAGUAAUGAGCAAUUAGGAAACUUUAGCAGCCAGUACUCAUAGCAUCUGGAGGAUGGGUAUACCAGGCCCAGUUAGGAGAUCUGGUCAGGAUAUCAAAUAGAAAAUGGUCAAGACCAGAGCAGUCACCAUAUAAUUUGUAUCUGUGUCCAGCUUUGAAACAUUUUCCUAGAGACUCCCAUUUGGGUUUCUCUUCUGCUUUAGUCAUCAAAAUCAACUUUCUCUGUUUUGAAUUCCAAAAUUACCUGUGGACAUUAAAAGGUUAUCAUUUAAGUUCUUAGGUUUCUUUCUCAGUGCUCCCAUUAUCUGACAUUAAUAAUUAAUCUGAAGACUUAUUUAACCAAAUUCCUCAAGCCAAGUACACAAAAAAGAAGGGCAGUUUCAAGGAAGGUUGUAUCAACAUUUUAAUCCUAACCAAGCCAUGGACAUUUUAAGCAUAAUAUGUAUUUUUUUUCUGCUUGGGAAGAAGUUGGGGACAGGAGUAAAUGUAAGUGAAGCAUGUCAUUUUCAUUUGCAAUGUAUUUUGGUUAUAUUUUUAUAGAAAGCAGAACUUAAUUCUACAUGAAAUAAAUUUUUUUAGUUCUGAAAACUAAGUGAAUUUCCUCUUUAUCAUCUAAUGCCUUUAUCCUGUUUUUUAAUAUGAGUACUUCAUGAGCUAGCAUAACUUGGAUUCUAAGACUCUAUAUUUUCCCAGGCUGUUACCACUGCCCUGGGGAAGAGUAAUUUACUGAUUGGUAUUUUGAUUAAAAAUUCAAAAGACAGAAGCGUGAGCCCUAUUUGUACUUCUUAUAGAGAAGUCUAUUCAAACAUUGCCCUGGCUGCAACUGAUCAAAAUCACUUCCAUCUGUCUCUUUGAAAUUUCAUCCUUAGGAUGAUUUCAGCAUGCUAUCCUGGCUUUAUCGUGGAUAUUAUAAUCUUGAGAAAUUUUAAAAAGUAUUGCUAAAUGUAAGAAACAUUGCUAAUUUGAACAAAGUGAAAAACAUUAAAAAUAUGUUGUGUUAAAGAUUAACUCUAUUAAUCUCACUGUUUCAGCAGAUAUGUUGUCUUAGCACCCAAAGUAUUCUAUGUGGGAGCCUCUGAAAAUAUAGUAAUUUAAGUUUAUGGAUACACAGAAUCAUUUCCAGUGACCAUUGCUAUUAAGUUAUCUUAACAAAAGUCCUACAUAUUCUGCUGACCAAGUUAAUUUAUUUCCAGAAAAUGAAUUGCAAAGCUCUGCAAAGUUAACUGUGUGUAUUUUUCUCAUAUUUUCUUUUACAUGCCGAGUGUUCUUUGUAAAACAUACAUGUAGGUGGUAUAUUGAUCCUUUUUGCAUAUAUGGAUAAAAUGUGAUACAUCACACUAUUAAGUGAUUUCACCAGUUGGUGAGAAAUAAGUGCCAUAUGUUUAUACAUGUAAGUGGAAAAUGUUAAACAGAGAAUCUGCUUCCAGAUUUGGGAGCAAUGUAAGAAAAUGUGAAAAUCUAAAUAAAGCAGAUAAAGGUUGUUAAGGUG